rnacentral:tRNA from 1 species
GGCUCGUUGGUCUAGGGGUAUGAUUAUCGCUUCGGAUGCGAGAGGUUCUGGGUUCAAAUCCCGGACGAGCCC